UCAAAUGUAACACUGUGUCACUGAUAAAUGGAUGUUUACAUCCUUGUUCUUCCACAGGGAUGUAAACAUCCCCCAUACACAAAAGAUCUCUUUGGGGUAGAUUAACCAGGUGAAUUGAAUUAAACGUUUUACUCAGUUUCUUUUUGUUUUUGCACAAGCAAAUAGUAAAUCCAAAACCAUUUUAAUACCUAUAGGACUUACUUUGAGGGAGAUAGACAGAAACCUCCAAGGCCAGAAAAAAGGUGCACAACCAAAAAGCUUUUUUUGAAACUGCAGUUGAUCACAUACUAAAAAUUAACAAAUGUUUCUGUGCAGGAAUUCAGUUUGGAGCAGGUUUUCUCGGUAAGAUCAACAAAAAGCAAAUUCUGCCCUUUUAAUCCUCAGUUCUGAUGUUUGCAACACUUAUUUUCAGACAAUCAGAGGACGGUCAAGUCGGCUGGCAGAUCACCAGAUAGGAACAUUUUCUGUUGUUAAAUCUCCUCAUUGUCAAUGUUAAGUUGCUACUACUUGAAUGUUUCUUUUACAGAAACUCUUUCUGGAAUAGAUUUUCAAGACCCCCAAACAGCUCGACUGACCUCAGAGUCAGUUAUUUAAAUAAUGCAGAAGUGUUCGUCUGUGAGAAAAAGUCAACAAGCAGUGUUAUCCAUCACCAAAGAAGUGAGGAGAACAACUCUAUAUUUCAGGCUUCAAAAGACUGCUGCGAUUAUUGUGGUUCUUUAUUAAUUAUCUUGUUAAUUAACCGGCUGUGGGUUUUGUUUUUCUUCUUUCUUUCAUGGAAACUUGUUCUGCUUGGUCAGGUUUCCAUGAAAGAAUUUUGAAUUUAUAUUUAGAAUCCACAAAGCUUUUCCACACGCAACAACUUUUCCAACCUCUUCUUAUAAUGUCCUUUAA